GCCCCCAUCGUCUAGGGGACUAGGACGUAGCCCUUUCAAGGCUAAGACGGGAGUUCGAAUCUCCCUGGGGGCA
rnacentral:tRNA from 1 species